rnacentral:lncRNA from 1 species
CACAAGAUCCAAUGAAUUUGAUCAAAGUUGAAUCAAUUCAACCUUGAUCAACACCAGACAGAAGAAGAAUCAAUAUAACAAGUCAAGAAGUCAAUAAUAUUUUUUUGGCAUUUUUUGAAUUACAAGAAAAUACAAAUAAAAAAAUAAACAAACAAAGUUGAACCUCAAAUUCAAUUCAAAGCAACUUCAAAAAGUCCAACUAAAUUUUCAUAGGUUCAACAUAGUCAAACAAACUUUGACUAAUUUUCUCACAAAUUU